rnacentral:lncRNA from 1 species
GUGGAGUAGGUGAGGCUGCGCGGCGUUGGUCAGAGGAGCGGUGGCGGUAGUUGGGUCUAAAUACCCUAGGUGCGGCGCACCUAGUGCUGGGUUUUUUCUUUCUUUUAUGUUUUUAUUUAUUUUGGGCUGCUAGAAAUGGGUUUGGGUUAAUUGGGUUAAUUGGGCCAGGUCUAGGCUUAUUUAAGUUUAGUUUGUAAUGGGUUUUGGGUUUAGGUUUAGGUGGGUUUGGGCCUGGGCAAAAUGGGUCUGUACAAUUGCCCCUCUUUGCUCGUUGUCGUGUAACGGGAACAUAGCAAAGACUAAGAAAGACCAAUUUUUCCCGGCCUCACCGAGUCUCGACUUCUUUUAACGCUUCUCUUCUUCAAG